rnacentral:rRNA from 1 species
UACGAAGGGGGCGAGCGUUGUUCGGAUUUACUGGGCGUAAAGGGCGCGUAGGCGGCCCUUCAAGUCAGGCGUGAAAGCCCCGGGCUCAACCUGGGAGGUGCGCUUGGGACUGGAGGGCUGGAGUUCGGGAGAGGUGAGUGGAACUGCGAGUGUAGAGGUGAAAUUCGUAGAUAUUCGCAAGAACACCAGUGGCGAAGGCGGCUCACUGGCCCGAUACUGACGCUGAGGAGCGAAAGCGUGGGGAGCGAACAGG